rnacentral:rRNA from 1 species
AAUCAACGCUGGCGGCGUGCCUAACACAUGCAAGUCGAACGGGAAAACGGGGGCAACUCCGUGAGUAUAGUGGCGUACGGGUGAGUAACACGUGACUACCUACCUUUGAGUGGGGGAUAACCCCGGGAAACCGGGGCUAAUACCGCAUAACAUCGCAAGAUCAAAGAAGCAAUUCGCUUAAAGAGGGGGUCGCGGCUGAUUAGCUAGUUGGUAGGGUAAUGGCCUACCAAGGCGAUGAUCGGUAGCCGGCCUGAGAGGGCGCACGGCCACACUGGAACUGAAACACGGUCCAGACUCCUACGGGAGGCAGCAGUGGGGAAUUUUGCGCAAUGGGGGAAACCCUGACGCAGCAACGCCGCGUGGAGGAUGAAGUCCCUUGGGACGUAAACUCCUUUCGACCGGGACGAUUAUGACGGUACCGGUGGAAGAAGCCCCGGCUAACUUCGUG